GCGGACCUACGGGACGCAGCAGUAGGGAAUCUUCCACAAUGGGCGAAAGCCUGAUGGAGCAACGCCGCGUGGGUGAAGAAGGUCUUCGGAUCGUAAAACCCUGUUGUUAGAGAAGAAAGUGCGUGAGAGUAACUGUUCACGUUUCGACGGUAUCUAACCAGAAAGCCACGGCUAACUACGUGCCAGCAGCCGCGGUAAUACGUAGGUGGCAAGCGUUAUCCGGAUUUAUUGGGCGUAAAGGGAACGCAGGCGGUCUUUUAAGUAGGAUGUGAAAGCCUUCGGCUUAACCGGAGUAGUGCAUUUGG
rnacentral:rRNA from 1 species